rnacentral:rRNA from 1 species
GAUGAACGCUGGCGGCGUGCCUAAUACAUGCAAGUCGAACGAAACUUCUUUAUCACCGAGUGCUUGCACUCACCGAUAAAGAGUUGAGUGGCGAACGGGUGAGUAACACGUGGGCAACCUGCCCAAAAGAGGGGGAUAACACUUGGAAACAGGUGCUAAUACCGCAUAACCAUAGUUACCGCAUGGUAACUAUGUAAAAGGUGGCUAUACUACCGCUUUUGGAUGGGCCCGCGGCGCAUUAGCUAGUUGGUAGGGUAAAGGCUUACCAAGGCAAUGAUGCGUAGCCGAAUUGAGAGGUUGAUCGGCCACAUUGGGACUGAGACACGGCCCAAACUCCUACGGGAGGCAGCAGUAGGGAAUCUUCCACAAUGGGCGAAAGCCUGAUGGAGCAACGCCGCGUGGGUGAAGAAGGUCUUCGGAUCGUAAAACCCUGUUGUUAGAGAAGAAAGUGCGUGAGAGUAACUGUUCACGUUUCGACGGUAUCUAACCAGAAAGCCACUGCUAACUACGG